UACGGGGGGGGCAAGCGUUGUUCGGAAUUACUGGGCGUAAAGGGCUCGUAGGUGGCCAACUAAGUCGGACGUGAAAUCCCUCGGCUUAACCGGGGAACUGCGUCCGAUACUGGUGAGCUUGAAGUUCGGGAGAGGGAUGCGGAAUUCCAGGUGUAGCGGUGAAAUGCGUAGAUAUCGGUGAGGAACACCGGUGGCGAAAGGCGGC
rnacentral:rRNA from 1 species